GUGCUCUCUUCGGCAGCACAUAUACUAAAACUGGAACAAUACAAAAGAUUAUCAGCAAGGCCUCUGUGCAGGAUGACAUGAAAAUUCAUCAAGUGUUCAGCAUUUUU
rnacentral:snRNA from 1 species